rnacentral:rRNA from 1 species
GAUGAACGCUGGCGGCGUGCCUAAUACAUGCAAGUCGAGCGAACGGACGAGAAGCUUGCUUCUCUGAUGUUAGCGGCGGACGGGUGAGUAACACGUGGAUAACCUACCUAUAAGGCUGGGAUAACUUCGGGAAACCGGAGCUAAUACCGGAUAAUAUUUUGAACCGCAUGGUUCAAAAGUGAAAGACGGUCUUGCUGUCACUUAUAGAUGGAUCCGCGCUGCAUUAGCUAGUUGGUAAGGUAACGGCUUACCAAGGCAACGAUGCAUAGCCGACCUGAGAGGGUGAUCGGCCACACUGGAACUUGGACACGGUCCAGACUCCUACGGGAGGCAGCAGUAGGGAAUCUUCCGCAAUGGGCGAAAGCCUGACGGAGCAACGCCGCGUGAGUGAUGAAGGUCUUCGGAUCGUAAAACUCUGUUAUUAGGGAAGAACAUAUGUGUAAGUAACUAUGCACAUCUUGACGGUACCUAAUCAGAAAGCCACGGCUAACUACGUG